UACAGAGGGGGCAAGCGUUGUUCGGAAUUACUGGGCGUAAAGGGCGCGUAGGCGGUCUUCUAAGUCGAACGUGAAAUCCCCGGGCUCAACCCGGGAACUGCGUCCGAUACUGGAAGGCUUGAAUUCGGGAGAGGGAUGCGGAAUUCCAGGUGUAGCGGUGAAAUGCGUAGAUAUCUGGAGGAACACCGGUGGCGAAGGCGGCAUCCUGGACCGGCAUUGACGCUGAGGCGCGAAAGCCAGGGGAGCAAACGGG
rnacentral:rRNA from 1 species